GAAUCGAGGAAAUUUAUGAUAGCAAGAGAUGUUGUGGUGGAUGAAAUAAACAUGCUAAAAUCGAGAGUUUUACAUGGAAAAGUUUCGGAUGUUCAAAGUAAUACUGUUGAACAAAAUAAUGAAUCUUUAACUAAAGAGAAUGAAGAGUUGGUUUUUCCUUUGGUGGAAAAUAAUGAAUCUGUUGAUUCUGAGUUAAAUGAGCAACUCAAUGAAAAUUCCACAUAUCUUGAGAAUGCCGAUCCAGUCGUUGAAACUGGUGAUAAAUUAAAAGAAAAUAAAAAGGAAGAAGAAAUCAGACGCAGUGAAAUAAUUAAAGAUGAUGUUCCUAAUACCUUUGAAGAGAUUAAGUUUCGUGAGGACAGAUCUUUCUGGGAAAAUGCUAUACAGGAUGAA